UACGGGAGGCAGCAGUGGGGAAUAUUGCACAAUGGGCGCAAGCCUGAUGCAGCCAUGCCGCGUGCAGGAAGACUGCCCUAUGGGUUGUAAACUGCUUUUAUACAGGAAGAAACACUGCUACGUGUAGCAGCUUGACGGUACUGUAAGAAUAAGGAUCGGCUAACUCCGUGCCAGCAGCCGCGGUAAU
rnacentral:rRNA from 1 species